GGUCCCAUAGUGUAGCUGGUUAGCACGUAGGAUUUUGAUAACAUCAAAAUUAUUCUUCCUGAGACCUGAGUUCGAUUCUCGGUGGGACCU
rnacentral:tRNA from 1 species